CCUCAACAAGAACAUCUCUAUACCCGAAAAGAAAUUCUACCAACUGUUAACCAGCAGGAUAGCGAGAAAUUUGUCUCUCUCCGAUCACUUCCGACCGAGACUAGAAGACCUUUGGAACAAGUGGAACAGAAGCGGGUUCCGAUAUCGUCUAUUUGUCCAUGAGUUGCAUUCACACGUUGAAUCCAGGAGUUUCGCCUCUCCCUGAUCUCUUCCGAACGAGACCAGCUGACUCUUGUGGAACAAUAUCAGGAGAUGAACAGGACCCGGAGCCAAUGUCGACUAAAUGACCUUGAGUUGUAUUCGUCCCUUGAAUCCAGGACAAUCGUGAUUUCCCUUCUGGACUUAUGCCAGAUAACCUGUCUCAGGAAUACGUGCAUCGUCAAACAGAACAGCUCUAUCCCCGAAUGCAAAUUAUUCUGCCAACGUUGACCUGCAGGAAAGGUUUCCUCAGACAACGGUUGCUUCCCCUGUCUGAGCUCAGAGACGCAGAGAAUCCUCGGCAGGAUGCACCGC